rnacentral:sRNA from 1 species
AUCUAGCCCCGAUUGAAGUGGAAAUCUUUUUAUUUUUUUCUUUAAAAAAUAAAAAAUUGGAACGGAAAGCGGGAAAUAAU